rnacentral:rRNA from 1 species
UACGAAGGGGGCUAGCGUUGCUCGGAAUCACUGGGCGUAAAGGGUGCGUAGGCGGGUUUUUAAGUCAGAGGUGAAAUCCUGGAGCUCAGCUCCAGAACUGCCUUUGAUACUGAAAGUCUUGAGUAUGGGAGAGGUGAGUGGAACUGCGAGUGUAGAGGUGAAAUUCGUAGAUAUUCGCAAGAACACCAGUGGCGAAGGCGGCUCACUGGCCCAUUACUGACGCUGAGGCACGAAAGCGUGGGGAGCAAACAGG